AAGACCUUUGGCUAUUAGGCAGCACUUCCCUCUUGUCUGCUAAUGUACACCUCCAUUUACAUAUUACAGCUUCCUCAACCACCUACAUGCUUUUUCACAGAGUCUGUCAAAUUCUCUUUAUAAUGAAGAUGUCAAAUACAGGUGAAUCUUCUUCUUAAAACCCAAGGGUAAUGCCAUUUACUCAACAUCUGCUGUUCAAAAUAUGCAUAAAGAAGAAAGUAUAGUUCUGUAUUGAAAUGAUGCACUGUACAUAGAAAGCCACAGUGGAUGAUGAUAUGAAACUGGCAGAGUCAGAGCAGGCAAGAGUCAGAGCUGGCCUCUUUCACAAGGAGACUGGAAUACAGUCUCCUUGCAUGCCAAAAAGAGUGCAACUUCCCAAUCCAGAAAAUGCUUGGAGAAGAUGCUACACACUCAAGUGAACCAUAAAUGCACUGCUCUGGUGUCGUA